rnacentral:rRNA from 1 species
GAAAUAUUAACUGUUUCAUUUAAAUUUUUUAUAGAAUUUUAUUUUUUAGUCAAAAAGCUAAAAUUUAUUUAAAAGACGAGAAGACCCUAUAAAUCUUUAUAUUUUGUUGAUUUUAAUUAUAAAGAUUAUUUUUGUUAUAAUCAGUAAAAAUAUUUUAUUGGGGUGAUAUUAAAAUUUAAAAAACUUUUAAUUUUUAAAACCAUUAAUAUAUGAAUAAUUGAUCCAUUAAUAAUGAUUAAAAAUUUAAGUUACUUUAGGGAUAACAGCGUAAUUUUUUUGGAGAGUUCAUAUCGAUAAAAAAGAUUGCGACCUCGAUGUUGGAUUAAGAUAUAAUUUUGGGUGUAGCCGUUCAAAUUUUAAGUCUGUUCGACUUUUAAAUUCUU